UGCUACUGUAAGCGUAAAGGGGUAACUGGG
rnacentral:piRNA from 1 species